AUUGAACGCUGGCGGCAGGCCUAACACAUGCAAGUCGAACGAGUGGCGGACGGGUGAGUAAUGUCUGGGCCACUGCCUGAUGGAGGGGGAUAACUACUGGAAACGGUAGCUAAUACCGCAUACCCUCGGAUGUGCCCAGAUGGGAUUAGCUAGGAGGUGGGGUAAAGGCACACCGAGGCGACGAUCCCUAGCUGGUCUGAGAGGAUGACCGGCCACACGGGAACUGAGACACGGUCCAGACUCCUACGGGAGGCGGCAGUGGGGAAUAUUGCACAAUGGGCGCAAGCCUGAUGCAGCCAUGCCGCGUGUAUGAAGAAGGCCGUCGGGUUGUAGGGUACUUUCAGCGUGGAGGCGUUACACGCAGAAGAAGCACCGGCUAACUCAGUGCCAGCAGCCGCGGUAAUAC
rnacentral:rRNA from 1 species